rnacentral:rRNA from 1 species
UGGGGAAUUUUGGACAAUGGGCGCAAGCCUGAUCCAGCCAUGCCGCGUGAGUGAAGAAGGCCUUCGGGUUGUAAAGCUCUUUCGGACGGGAAGAAAUGGCGGGCUCUAACAUAGCCUGUCGAUGACGGUACCGUAAGAAGAAGCACCGGCUAACUACGUGCCAGCAGCCGCGGUAAUACGAAGGGUGCAAGCGUUACUCGGAAUUACUGGGCGUAAAGCGUGCGUAGGUGGUUGUUUAAGUCUGAUGUGAAAGCCCUGGGCUCAACCUGGGAAUGGCAUUGGAAACUGGGCAGCUAGAGUGCGGUAGAGGGUAGUGGAAUUCCCGGUGUAGCUGUGAAAUGCGUAGAGAUCGGGAGGAACAUCUGUGGCGAAGGCGACUGCCUGGACCAGCACUGACACUGAGGCACGAAAGCGUGGGGAGCAAAC